rnacentral:rRNA from 1 species
AGGACGAACGCUGGCGGCGUGCUUAACACAUGCAAGUCGAACGAGGUGCUUGCACCUAGUGGCGAACGGGUGAGUAACACGUGAGCAACCUGCCCUUGGCUCUGGGAUAGCCUCCGGAAACGGGGAUUAAUACCGGACAUGACCUGCCUCCGCAUGGGGGCGGGUGGAAAGUUUUUCGGCCAGGGAGGGGCUCGCGGCCUAUCAGCUUGUUGGGGGGGUAACGGCCCACCAAGGCGACGACGGGUAGCC